rnacentral:tRNA from 2 species
CGGGGAGUAGCGCAGCCUGGUAGCGCGUUUGGUUCGGGACCAAAAGGUCAGGGGUUCGAAUCCCCUCUCCCCGACCA